UUGGGACAGCCUUCGGCGCGCCGCUGUGACGUAAUCGGCCUUAAAAUGCAGCCUUUGAGGCUGCAGACCCUGAAUUGGGAUACAGCCGUCGGAAUUGACCGGAGAAGGCACUGCUCUGGCCUGCACCACGGUUAGUAUAAGGCACAUUUUACGAAGCAAAACGCAGUCUUCAGAGAUCUCUACGUGAACACUGUGAUACGUCUGACCUUCAGUCCAAAGCAGAAACCCAGACCAGUCUUAAAAGAAAGCACAAACCAAAUCCCCUGUACACAUAUACGGACUCAGAGGAUGAGCACCGUACUCGAGACCCU